GGUGCUGGCUCAGAGGCAGGGCACAAGGCUUGCAAGCCUGAAGCCCCAGGUUCAAUCCCUGGCACCA
rnacentral:tRNA from 1 species